rnacentral:tRNA from 1 species
GUGGGUAUAGCUCAGUGGUAGAGCAUGCUUAACAUGCAUGAGGUCCUGGGUUCAAUCCCCAGUACCUCCA